ACUGUUGAGAUCUCUGAGAGUAGCUGACGCUUCACUUGGAUGCUGGACGCGCGGUCUGUAUCUGCGUCUAUGUUUAGCAAAAACUUUUUAAUCUUACUGCACAUGGGGACCUCUAAUGUGUUGGCUUUCUUGCUAAUAUGUAAAAGAUGCGGGUAAAUUCACUUUGCAAAAGCGGCGUCGCCAUAACAGCAGAGUUUGCACUCGGGAUGAGAUGAGAAACUGCAGGGCUGCGCGAGGUGGUUCGCAUCGUGUUGUUGGAGCACCAUCGACUCAUCGUUUAAACAGGAACCAUUCAGAGGCUGGAGACCUUUUCUUCUGGAUCAGUUUAACAUAAACCGGCUUUAUAGAAACGCAAACCAUUGAUCAGCAGAUCGCGGUUACUCACCGAAGAACCAGAUGGUGUUUUUGUCUCUUUUAAGAAUCAUGAAAAAUGGCAUGAGAAAUGGAAGCAUGAAACCCAUUGAAAGGAACUGUGAUUUUACAUGUCUUCCCCAUUCUUGAACAUCAAGAUCACUAAGUUCAACUCGCCAUGGAGACGGAGUUAAGAAAUGGACUGUCCGCAGCUGCUAUAGUGGCCAUUGUGUGUAACUCAGUAGUAGCUGUGCUUAUUCUCAUUCUCUUUGUUAUACUGUACAAGGCCUGCAAAAUUCCCUCCUGUCCAGAGAGGGCUCCAGUGCUGGCAGAGAGUCAAGAGCCACAGAGAACUGAGGAAAAAUACUUACUAAGUGCAGCUUGAACCUGAAAAAUGUGAACACUGUGCUGCUGCUUAUAGAUACAACAACAAAAGCACCAGAAUCCAGGAUUUAAAGAUGCUAGUUUGUGAUGUGCAUUCAGUUCUUAUAUUCAAAAUGGAAAAAGGACUCAAAGUAAACAAACAAACAAAAGGAUCAAGGCUAUAGUUUUUAGAUUAAGGAUUCUAUAUUGGCAUAAGAACUUUAAUCUUCCACGAAAGCAUUUCAUUUCACUAAAGGUUUUUCAUAGUGCAGAAAGGUUAUUUAGUUUAAAAUGUUCUUCCAAAAAAUGUUUUUAAAGGGCACCUAUUUUACCCCUUUUAUAAGUUGUAAGAUAAGUCUCUGUUGUUUCCAUAAUGUGUCUGUACAGUUUCAGCUCAAAAUACCCAUCAGAUAAUUUAAUAUACCCUCCAGAAUCCGCCCAUUUUGGUGGCUGAGUACAGUGUAGCUGUUUUUGUAGCCUGUGGCUUUAAAUGCAAAUAAGCUGCUUCUCCCCCCACCGCUCACACGUGCAUGUCUGCUUUACCUGCAUUACAGCAGUUAAACAGCGGUCAGUGAUAGAGACAGACACUAGUGAUGGGAAGUUCAGUUCAUUUUAUCAAUUCAGACCUUUGAGUCGCGUUCAUUGAAAUGAACAUGUCUUUUUUCGAGUCAUUUCGUUCGGUUUGUCAAAAUAACAUUAAAAUGUUACGAGAUGCUUACAAACAUCUACAAGUAGCCCAAGCGUUGUUUACACAACAAACAAAUCAUAACUAGAAUGCUACUAAACUAAGAAAGAGAAAAUAAUCCAUAAAUUAAAAUAAUAAAAUAAAAUAAAAAUAAUUCAUUGUUUAUGUGGUGUUUUGUCUAUGAUUAACUCUGAUCACCUCAUCUGGCAUGUCUUUAAAUUUGAGUGGUUCGUUCACCUGAGACUGACAGUUCCAUAUAAGUUUAACCCAUGCGUACAGUCUGAGGCGGAAAUCCAUGAUUUGUUCAACUUUUGAGUCUUCGGGCGUUUGAGUUGUAAAGAGUAAAGAGAUGAGUAAAAUAUGUAAAGAGAUGACUCAAAACCAAAGACUCAAGAAAUGAAUGGAUAAAAUCUUUUUCCAGCACUAAAAGCAUAUGAUUGGCUUCUGUCUUUCAAGUGAUAAACGAAUGACUUAAGCCCGAUAGAGCACUCGAAAAGUUAACUAAUCUUCUCCACCUGCACAAGUGUGCGAAUGUUCUCGAGUCACAUAAAAGAUUCGUUCAGUUUAUCUGAUGUAUUUGCGGUGGAGUUUAUUCAAGCCUUUCUGAAAUGAUGAGUUCACACAAAUUUUGUUUGUAGUACACACACACACAUAUAUAUAUAUAUAUAUAUAUAUAUAUAUAUAUAUAUAUAUAUAUAUAUAUAUAUAUAUAUAUAUAUGCAUUUAUUGAGACCAUGCAGCCAUGGUGAUUAUAGCGAUUAAGAGUGUUUUUACUGUCUUUAUUACAAACAUGCUCUAUUUUAAAUAUGUUUUAAACAUAUAAAACUUACUAAAACUCACAGAGUUGGAACAGAUAUUUUAAUUCCAGUUUCUUUGCAAAGAACUUGUCUGUGGAAAUGUUUAUACAUGUUAUUAUGGAAACAAUACUAAAAUUGAUUUUCAUCAAAGGUGCCCUUUAACUCUUCACUUAGAAGUUCUUUUAUGGAAACCAAAAUGGUUCUUCAUUGGUAUCACCACAAAAAUCCCCUUUUGCAUCCUUUUGCAACUGUCUUUUUUGGUUGUGCUGUCAAGAUUAAGACAUCAUUCAAAUCUGUAAAGGCUCUCUCUGUUUCUGUGAACUUUCUGAAAUAGAUUUUUAUGUCAAGAGCCGACAUGAGUUUUGUAUAUUUUCCAGGCUGUCUGGGUAGCUCCCGUCUUUAUUGUAAAUCUCACACGAUAACCUUUUGAUAUGAUAACAGUUUUUAAGUUCAAGGCCACAAAUCUUCUUAAUCUUCUACAUUUACUGUAUGGUUUGUUUUGUAUGGUGGAUAUAGCAACAAAGAUCAGAUAAUAUUUGCAUUAUGAUUGGUUCGAUCUGCUGUCAAUCCAAAUUCAGGUGAAGGUUCAGUUGGGUCAGUUAGAACAUUACCUAGAUUUUAAUUUGUAAAGAGGUUCAUAAAUUGUUAGCUUAAAGCAUUUGUAACCUUUUCUCAUAAUAAGUACAUGGUUCAUUUAGCAUUAAAUGUUUCCCGUCUAGCUAAAAUGUCUGCUUUACAUGUGGUUCUACUUUGAGCCACCUUUUUGCAUCUUAUAUACUUUCAAUUUUACGGUUUACUCCAAAGCAAAUGUGAGAAAUCACUCUAUUGUAAAUUGGUGCUAGACUGAAUGUUUUUACUAAUGCAGAGCUUGUGUUUAGAUGCAUGUUAUGCACUUGACUAUUUUAACAGGUUUUUAUACCAAUAAUAAACAUCUUACAGUAGCAAA
ensembl:lincRNA si:ch211-214j8.15 si:ch211-214j8.15